AAGUUAUAAUGUGGGCACUUCCUCCGUAGGUCCUUGAAUCUCUUCCAAGCUUCAUACAACUCUCUUGAUCCUGGUGGGCAAAAGUCUUUAUCUCAUUGCGAAGCUU
rnacentral:snoRNA from 1 species